AGGUCAUAUCAAGGUGAAAGAGCCAGUUCUCGCACGAACACCGAAGUUAAGCAACGUCGAGUCUGGUCAGUACCUAGAUGAGUAACCGCUUGGGAAUACCAGGUGAAGU